ensembl:lncRNA
AUGAUGCUUGAUCUGUGCCUAUUUCCAAAUAAUGCAGAGAUCCGUCUUCUUUACUGUGAAACACUAAAACAAUACAAACAUACACUCAGAACCAAAAAAGCACAAUACACCCAAAAACAACUCACAAUAAUUGAGAAGUCAGUGAACACAAACCAGUUCUGGAAUAAUUGGAACAAUCUGAAAAAAACUGAUCGUGAAGAAUUGGCAAUCCAAAAUGGAGAAAUAUGGGAAAGUCAUUUCCAAACAUUGUUUAAUAAAGUACAAACAGACACAAACUGUAAACAAAAUCAAACAAUCAACCAAUUGGGAAAACUAGAAUUAGCAAUCAAAGAUAACCAAAACCCAUUAGAUUUCACAAUAACUGAUAAAGAACUUAAGGUGGAGGUCAGGAGGGUUGACUAUGGAGAUGUUGUUUGCGUCUCUCUUUGGGAUGUUAAGGAACUGUGUGGAGAAGCAGCAUCCAUACCUGUGCAAGCGCUGCAGGUCUCUCUGGUGAACGUGAGGCCAGUGAAUGGAGAAACAUGGUCUUUUGAAACGAUCAGCUGGUUCAAGAGUAAAGUGCAGAACAAGACUCUUUAUGCCAGGCUUUACCCAGAAGAAGGAGAAGUUUUGGUUGAGCUCUUCAUGGAGAAGGGAAAGAUUGGUGCUAUGAGGAGAGGAGACUCUCUGUCUGUGAGACUUGCUCAGAAUAGAUUUGCCAUUCAUGAAUGUAACAAACCCAGGGGUCGGAAGAGAAGAAGUGAUGUCCCAGAACAAACCAGACAGCAGUCGUUACAGUGGGAGAAGUAUCUGAUCUCCUGUUACAGUCACAACAGAGAAUAAUGUUCAGUGAUCAGAAAACUCACAUGCUUUUGUCAUUCAUCAUUACAUCAUAACCUUAUACACACUUCACAAUAUCUACUGUAACUAUGCAGAUUUCAUAGUCUGGAGUAUUUGGUGUACAGUUUGUGAACACUGUACAUUUGUUACAAGAUAGAUUGUAUUACAGAAAAUAUUUGAUGAUGUUCGUCGCUGUGGAAUGUGUUCUUUUUGGUUUAGAUAAUUCAUAAUUAAAAAUAACCAGGAAUUGUAAAAUAGAAGCUUGUCUUGUUUCUAAGAAUUUUAGAGUUUACUUUGUGUGUUCUGUUGUUCUUUGGAAAAAUACUGAAAUAUGUACUGUUCUUUGUUUGUUAGUUAACUCUGGCUGGGCAAACUUUACUGUAAUUUUACUCUGGAGCACAUUAACACUUUUAAAACGCUUGACAUGAACGUGUAAAUAUGCACUUGAAGUGCUGAUUAAGAGACACUGUCUGUUCAUGAAGUGCUGAAAGAUCUUUUAAUGGCUUCUCUGUUCAGUGCCUGUUUAGAAAACCUGCAUAUUUGAUUUACGACACGUCGUCUUUUGCAGAUCUGCCAACAAAAACAUGCGUGUCUUUAAAAUAGUUCAAUACAAUUGCACCCUUGGCUACAGUUUUUGUAUACUUUUUUUUUUUUGUAUACAUAAUUUUUGUGUUACUCAUAGUAGUCUAUACACGUUACACACUGCUCUGUGCUGAGCAUUGUUGGGGAAGUUACUCAGAAAUCUAGUUACUAUUAAUAGUUAUUUUCAUGUUACUGUGAAGUGUAUCCUCACUGUUUUGCAAGGUUGUCAAUGUCCAGAACUGUCCCACUUGAAACACCCCACUACAAGAAGAUUUCACUCAUUGACCACACUUUUGCUCUCCUUUUUCCCUUUUUUUAUUAUGAAAGUUUGAUGCAGUGUUCAUUUGGUCAAUCGAUCAAUCAGUCAGGUGGAAAACCUUUAAACAAAUACAAACACCACUUUAAGAGCAAGCACAAGUAG